AAAAAUCAUAUUCUAAAACCUCUUCAAAAUCUUAGAUUUAUUUGCUGGUUUCUUAAAAAUGUCUAGAUUAUUCACUCUUGUAACAAAAAAAAAACAAAAAUUAUUCACUCUACAACUCAUCAUUUUUUUUUAUAGGGUGUCACACCUACGUGGAACUUUGGAUAGAGAAGAAUGAUCAAAUAUUCCCAUUUGACCUUCUUGCCCUUGGUUGCUUAAACUCAA
rnacentral:lncRNA from 1 species